AGUGAACGCUGGCGGCAGGCCUAACACAUGCAAGUCGAACGGCAGCACAAGAGAGCUUGCUCUCUGGGUGGCGAGUGGCGGACGGGUGAGGAAUGCAUCGGAAUCUGCCCAUUUGUGGGGGAUAACCUCGGGGAACCGGGACUAAUACCGCAUACGACCUACGGGUGAAAGCAGGGGAUCUUCGGACCUUGCGCAGAUGGAUGAGCCGAUGCCGGAUUAGCUAGUUGGAGGGGUAAAGGCCCACCAAGGCGACGAUCCGUAGCUGGUCUGAGAGGAUGAUCAGCCACACUGGGACUGAGACACGGCCCAGACUCCUACGGGAGGCAGCAGUGGGGAAUAUUGGACAAUAGGCGCAAGCCUGAUCCAGCCAUGCCGCGUGUGUGAAGAAGGCCUUCGGGUUGUAAAGCACUUUUGUUGGGAAAGAAAAGCAGCCGGUUAAUACCCGGUUGUCAUGACGGUACCCAAAGAAUAAGCACCGGCUAACUUCGUG
rnacentral:rRNA from 1 species